rnacentral:rRNA from 1 species
GACGAACGCUGGCGGCGUGCUUAACACAUGCAAGUCGAACGGAAAGGCCCUGCUUGCAGGGUACUCGAGUGGCGAACGGGUGAGUAACACGUGGGUGAUCUGCCCUGCACUUCGGGAUAAGCCUGGGAAACUGGGUCUAAUACCGGAUAGGAGCCAUUUUUAGUGUGAUGGUUGGAAAGUUUUUUCGGUGUAGGAUGAGCUCGCGGCCUAUCAGCUUGUUGGUGGGGUAAUGGCCUACCAAGGCGGCGACGGGUAGCCGGCCUGCGGGGGUGGACGGCCACAUUGGGACUGAGGUACGGCCCAGGCUCCUACGGGAGGCAGCAGUGGGGAAUAUUGCACAAUGGGCGCAAGCCUGAUGCAGCGACGCCGCGUGGGGGAUGACGGCCUUCGGGUUGUAAACUCCUUUCGCUAGGGACGAAGCUUUUUGUGACGGUACCUAGAUAAGAAGCACCGGCUAACUACGUG